UACAAGGUGUCCCUCAAAAUUUCAAAAUUUAAAUUUUGCAAUGGAAUAAUUCUGGAAAUAUUAAAUAACAUAAAUUUUUAUCAAUUUAUUUUUAAGCAGUAUUUUCUGAUGGGGGAAUUGGUGGCGAUGGCCGUGGAAUAAUGUGUCUCAACGUGCUCUGUUUUAAUAUAGUGUUUAUAGUGUUCUAAAGCAUCUCCUGAUGCCUAUUUUGCGAAUAAAACACUCCGGCAGUGAUCGCGCAUCGAUUGAUGUAUAAAUUAUCAAAGUGGAAAUGCUAAUAAUAAUCUAUAGUGUGUAUUCGGUGAUACCUGCACACGUAAUGGCGGCUUUGCGAGCCUUGACAAGCCUUGAAAUGCGCGGCACUUGCGGGAUGUAACGCGGUCUGAUGUCGAGUUAUUGACCCAUUGAGGAGUGUUCCAAGCAGAGGGCUGUAUUUGCGCCCGAGAUAACCAUGUCAUCUUCGAUGGAGAGCGAUCGGAGUAAGUUACUCCUACUCUUAUCUGCUAUGGGCUAGACGUCUUCCCUGGCUGCUCUGAUGACUAGUAGAGACGCCGGGACUCCAUCCAGACACACCCUGAGGUACCUGUUAAUCUGGGAUUUGCCGAGCUGAUUAUUUGAGGUAACCCUGUGGCGGGCCUCUGUUGAGGAGGAGCCGAUUAUGACGUGACUCUCGGGCUAAUGAUUGAGUGCAAGUAGCCCUUAUAAUGUCGAGUUAUCGAUCCGGAGCGCAUGCAGCGUAUAUGCUCAGUGGCGCAAUCGAUGAACCCGGGGAUACGCAACGUAAGGUUAUGGUGACCAGUGUCAUUGUAAAUAUCGUAACCUGAGUGCUGCUGUUGGAAAUGAGGUUAAGAUGACCACUUUGUGUAUGGACUGAGGCUCCUGUGGACAAUGUAUCGGGGAAUGCUCCCAGGAGUGAGUGGUUAUGUCUUGAUGUGAAGGAUAGUUGUGUUGCGAGGAGGCAUUACAGGCCUGCAGCUGUCGCAACUUCUGGAGGGUUGUGCGUUCACUUGAGGCGUGUGUGUGUUGAAUAACUUGUGAGAAAGCUCUAUGCGGGAUGUUAUCCCGGCAUACAUACAAUAUGUGACAGGAGCUUCACGCGAAACGCACUGGAGUUAUUAUGGUGGGAACAUCUCACCAUAGGGGAUAUCGUUGUGACGGCGGACUACUCAAGUCUCACCAAUGAUCUUCAGGAUUUACUACUUACCAUAAUAAUAAGGAAUAGGACCUCCGUUAGAUGGAAUUCAUACAGUUUAUAUAUUAUAUAUCAUAUAAUAUUGCGCUGCCGUCUGAAACAUUGAAUCAUUUAUUGUGAUGUCCUGACUUGCAUUGUAAGUGAGUUUUUGUGAAGGAAAUUCCGGAAUCAAACGGGGAAACCUCUUAAAAUGGGACCUAAUGAACUUUCUGAACUUUUAAUAGAUUGUACUUAAAUGAGGAGACGGGUGUUACAGGGUACAAUAAAGAUCGUAUAUUUUACAUAUUGAUCUUAAAGAGAACAACAGCUGAAAG